rnacentral:rRNA from 1 species
UGGGGAAUCUUGCACAAUGGGGGAAACCCUGAUGCAGCGACGCCGCGUGAACGAUGAAGCCCUUCGGGGUGUAAAGUUCUUUCGACAGGAACGAUAAUGACGGUACCUGGAGAAGAAGCUGCGGCUAACUACGUGCCAGCAGCCGCGGUAAUACGUAGGCAGCGAGCGUUGUUCGGAGUUACUGGGCGUAAAGAGUGCGUAGGCGGCGAGCCAAGUUUGGUGUGAAAUCUCCCGGCUUAACCGGGAGGGUGCGCCGAAAACUGGUUGGCUGGAGUAUGGGAGAGGAUAGCGGAAUUCCUGGUGUAGCGGUGAAAUGCGUAGAUAUCAGGAGGAACACCGAUGGCGGAGGCAAUCCCCUGGGCCUGCACUGACGCUCAUGCACGAAAGCGUGGGGAGCAAACA